GGUUAUUAAUAUUUCAUGUUUUUGUUUACAUCUAUUCAUAAAGAUACAAUAUUGAGGUGUUCACCUCAAAUCCACAACACAAAUUAACACAUUACACAACGACAAAUUAUCAUGGUUCACUAAAUUGGAAUUGAUCUACACUUUUAAUCACACAAAUUUCAUCCCAUGAGAUGAUUUCCGCUUAUUUGAAAUUGAUCACAACCAUAGCAGUUUUACAACUAUGUGGGAUGCCGUAUCUUUCAGAUUGUCAUGUAAUAAGGAAGCCACUCAAAUCGAAUAAGAUAAAAACCUGCUUGUUGAUACUCUUCCAUUCAAUGCAGUGGAAGAUCCCUUACCGAAGCGAGAAGACGCAUUUCAAUCGAACAAUCCUGUAGUAUUCGGCCCUCAAAAUCAAAACUCCGAGCCCCAAAAAUUACAGGCUUACCAAGAGAAAAAGUGGUUGGAUACGUGUCCUGCAUCUGGAUUCCACUUUUCCAACCAAUCUCUCCUUUACUACGAAUCUCUUGAUUCACAGAAACACGAUUCAAAACCAAAGAAGACAAGGAAAAAUAGAAAUCGAACAAAAACGCUUGAUCAGAAUAUCCAAUUGUACACAGAUGAAGGAGGAAGUGGAAGUUUAACAACACCAAUGAAAACGCAGAGAGUGCAUAACUUGCAACUUCAAAUACUCAUUAACGACUUCCUCGGAAAUGUUAUGACUCUGAAGGCACUUCUUGACCAGUUGAAGAAAGGUGAAAAUAAUGAACUAGGAGGGAAAAGAAUAGAGGGUCGUAGGAAGUAAAGUUAUCACUCAUUGAGAAGUUUGUUGGCAAACUCCUGCAGGAUACGAAUGAACCAACUUCCAAAGGAACUGAUGGACCAGAAGACUGGAAUCACGUGAUACAUGGAUUCGAAUCAACUGCACGAAUAAAGAUCCGAUUCCAAGCCGAAUACAAACAUGUGACCAGGGUAUACAUAAUGUUUAUAAGUCUCAGAGAAAAAUUAAUAAUUUGAUGGCAUUCUCCAUUAUACACAGAACCCUCAAAUUAAAACAUGGUUAUGAAUCAUUGGCAUAACAUAUUUUAUUAUUGUUUGUUCUAAUGAUAGGAGUUCAGAAGUAUAGAGAGGAAGAGCAGAUUAUUAUCUCAAUCAUGUAAUAAUGAUUGUUCACCCAUAAAAGUUCAUGAGUAGCUGGAAAAUAUUCUACGUUCAUCCCCAAUUAACAACAAUGAGCUUGGGUCAAUUUCUUCAAUGUGAGCUGAAGAUUCACUGUCGUUGCUCCAGGGUUGUAGAAGACGUCCAAUGCAUGCGGCUCAUCCAAUGUUCUCAUGCACCAUUUGCACAAAAUUAGCCUCAAU